GACCGGCGCACGGUGCGUAACGCGUAUGCAACCUACCUUUAACAGGGGGAUAACACUGAGAAAUUGGUACUAAUACCCCAUAAUAUCAUAGAAGGCAUCUUUUAUGGUUGAAAAUUCCGAUGGUUAGAGAUGGGCAUGCGUUGUAUUAGCUAGUUGGUGGGGUAACGGCUCACCAAGGCGACGAUACAUAGGGGGACUGAGAGGUUAACCCCCCACACUGGUACUGAGACACGGACCAG
rnacentral:rRNA from 1 species